UAAGCGGAGGAAAAGAAACCAACAGGGAUUGCCCUAGUAACGGCGAGUGAAGCGGCAAUAGCUCAAAUUUGAAAUCUGGCCUCGGCCCGAGUUGUAAUUUGCAGAGGAUGUUUCUGGCGCGGUGCCUUCCGAGUUCCCUGGAACGGGACGCCACAGAGGGUGAGAGCCCCGUAUGGUUGGACACUAAGCCUGUGUGAAACUCCUUCGACGAGUCGAGUAGUUUGGGAAUGCUGCUCAAAAUGGGAGGUAAAUCUCUUCUAAAGCUAAAUACCGGCCAGAGACCGAUAGCGCACAAGUAGAGUGAUCGAAAGAUGAAAAGCACCUUGAAAAGGGGGUUAAACAGUACGUGAAAUUGUUGAAAGGGAAGCGCUUGUGACCAGACUUGCGCCGGGCGGCUCAUCCGGGGUUCUCCCCGGUGCACUCCGCCCGGCUCAGGCCAGCAUCGGUUCUCGUUGGGGGAUAAGAACGGCAGGAACGUGGCCCUCCUUCGGGUGGGUGUUAUAGCCUGCCGUACGAUACCCUGACGGGGACCGAGGUUCGCGCUCCGCAAGGAUGCUGGCGUAAUGGUCAUCAGCGACCCGUCUUGAAACACGGACCAAGGAGUCGUCCAUUAGAGCGAGCGUUUGGGUGUCAAACCCGCACGCGUAAUGAAAGUGAAAUUAGGUGAGAGCUUCGGCGCAUCAUCGACCGAUCCUGAUGUUCUCGGAUGGAUUUGAGUAAGAGUUUUAACGGACGGACCCGAAAGACAGUGAACUAUGCUUGUAUAGGGUGAAGCCAGAGGAAACUCUGGUGGAGGCUCGCAGCGGUUCUGACGUGCAAAUCGAUCGUCAAAUAUGAGCAUGGGGGCGAAAGACUAAUCGAA
rnacentral:rRNA from 1 species